rnacentral:snRNA from 1 species
UUGGUUUGACAGCACAUACACUUAAAAUCAGGACAGUACAGAAAAGCUGAGCGUGGCUCCCGCUCAAGGGUGACAUGCAAAUUCGCAAAGCCUCCCAUAUUAAA